UACGUAGGGUGCGAGCGUUAAUCGGAAUUACUGGGCGUAAAGUGUGCGCAGGCGGCCGAGCAAGUCGAGUGUGAAAGCCCCGAGCUUAACUUGGGAACUGCGCUCGAAACUACUUGGCUAGAGUGUGGCAGAGGGAGGUGGAAUUCCACGUGUAGCGGUGAAAUGCGUAGAGAUGUGGAGGAACACCGAUAGCGAAGGCAGCCUCCUGGGCCAACACUGACGCUCAUGCACGAAAGCGUGGGGAGCAAACAGG
rnacentral:rRNA from 1 species